rnacentral:rRNA from 1 species
UUUAAUAAUUAUUAAUUAAUUUUUUUUGAUUAGAAAUAAAGUAUUAAAAAUAAUUAUAAUAUAUAAUGUUUAAGUAUUUUGUAAAGAAAAAAUAAUUUUAAUAAUAGUUUAUUAGUAUUGUGAAAUAAAAUUGAAAUAUAAUGAAAAAUUUUUAUUAUAAAAGAAAAUUUUAUUUAUUGUAUCUUGUGUAUCAGAGUAUAUUAAAUAAAGAAUAUAUUUAUGUUUUUCUCGAUUUUAAAAGAUUUAAUAAAUUAUGAAUGUUAAUGUUAUAAAAUUAUAUUCAAUAAUUUAUUAGAAAUGAAAUGUUAUUCGUUUUUAAAGGUAUCUAGUUUUUUAAGAAAUAAAUUCAAUUUAGUGUUUAAAAUUUAUUUAUUUAUUUAUGUAAAUUAAUUAAUUUUUGAAUAUAAAUAUUUUAUGGGAUAAGCUAUAAAAUAAAUUUUUAUAAAUAAUAAAUAUUGUUUAAAAUUUUAUAUGUUUAAAAGUAUCAAUUUUUAAUAAAUUUGUUAUAAAUUAAUUUUUUUAAUAAAUUAUUUAUUAUAUUUUAAUUUUUUAUUAAAAUAUUUAUUUAAAUAUAAAAAAUAAAGGAAUAAUGAUAUAAUUAGUAUAUUAAAUUUGUAUAAUAUAAUAUAUUAAAAUGAAAAGUUUAUGUAAAGAAUUCGGCAAAAAUAAUGUUCGCCUGUUUAACAAAAACAUGUCUUUUAGAAAUUAAUUUAAAGUCUGACCUGCCCACUGAUUUUAUUUUAAAUGGCCGCAGUAUAUUAACUGUGCAAAGGUAGCAUAAUCAUUAGUCUUUUAAUUGAAGGCUGGAAUGAAUGGUUGGACGAAAUAUUAACUGUUUCAUUUAAAUUUAUAUUAAAAUUUUAUUUUUUAGUUAAAAAGCUAAAAUUUAAUUAAAAGACGAGAAGACCCUAUGAAUCUUUAUAUAUUUUUUAUUUUAAUUUUUUAGAUGAUUUUGAUUAUAAUAAUAAUAAUAUAUUUUAUUGGGGUGAUAUUAAAAUUUAAAUAACUUUUAAUUAUUUAAAUCAUUAAUUUAUGAAAAUUUGAUCCAUUUUUAGUGAUUAAAAAUUUAAGUUACUCUAGGGAUAACAGCGUAAUUUUUUUGGAGAGUUCAUAUCGAUAAAAAAGAUUGCGACCUCGAUGUUGGAUUAAGAGAUAAUUUUAGGUGUAGCCGUUUAAAUUUAAAGUCUGUUCGACUUUUAAAAUCUUACAUGAUCUGAGUUCAAACCGGCGUAAGCCAGGUUGGUUUCUAUCUUUAAUAAAUUAAUAUAUUUUAGUACGAAAGGAUUGAAUAUAUAAAUAAUUUUAUUUUAUAGAUAAGAAUAUAAUUAAUUAUUAAA